rnacentral:tRNA from 1 species
GGAGAGGUGGCCGAGUGGUCGAAGGCGCGCCCCUGCUAAGGGCGUAGAGGUGAAAGCUUCUCGAGGGUUCGAAUCCCUUCCUCUCCGCCA